UUUGCUUGCUCUCUUUUUCUGCUCUUGCUUCUGCUCUGCUUUCUGCCUCUGCUUAUUAGCUAGUUUAGCUAAACAGUCCACAUUGCUUCCUGGACUGUUUCUCCUCUCCUGUUCCUGUGACCAUCUCGAACCUGCUCCGGACUGGGACCCAGGAACACCAAGGGUUCGGCUGCAGCAGCUGGCCCAGCGCCGGAGGGACUGAGAACAGAGCAACCACCCCCGAAAGAGACUUUCUGAUUUUGCCAUCUUUCUCAAAGCGGUGUCAUCGGACCUCUGGCCCCACAUGCUCAGCAGAGAAGAAGCCAACCUUGCUCACUCCCCUGCCAGGCAUCCCAGGCCCACCACACAAAUUGUGGAGUGCACAAACCUUCCUCUGUGCUUCAGACCCGAGCCAGAUAUUCUGAUAACUGGUGCUGAGGAAGAAGAUUAAGACUGUUUUUAGCACUGAAGGCUGCAGGACAUAUGGAUGCUGCAGACCUGUUAGUGACAGACAGAAAGUUGUUUGGAGGCAACAGGACAGAUUGUCUGGGAUUCCUGGCUGAGUCCCAAGGAAAGGCUGAUGAGGAGGAGGUGAGAGGAGAAGCAAAGGACCGAAUUCUUCUGCAGAAGAAAAGAAGCAGAAAAGGGAUCUGCAAGCAGAGACAAUGCUGCUCCUGUCAAGGGCAUGUGCUGUCUGGUCAGGGCACAGCCAUGAUUCCCUCUGUUCUGCACUCCAAACAUCUCAGCUGUCCCCUCAAUCCUGAUGGGAAUUUCCUUCAACUCCAGACUCCAGGACUUCGUUAAAAACCCAACUUUAUUCCCAGAAUGUCUGCAGAUUUUAAAGAAGAAAGAAAACCAGAAGGCAAAUGUUCUCCCAGGGAGCAGCUGAGCUCUAAGGUUCAAG